UAAAUACUGCCUCCGUCCGAAAAUACUUGUCAUCAAAAUGGAUAAAAAGAGAUGUAUCUAAAACUAAAAUACGUCUAGAUACAUUUCCUUUUAUCCAUUUUGAUGACAAGUAUUUCCGGACGGAGGGAGUAUUUG
rnacentral:pre_miRNA from 1 species